rnacentral:rRNA from 1 species
CGCGUGAAUGAUGAAGGUCUUAGGAUUGUAAAAUUCUUUCACCGGGGACGAUAAUGACGGUACCCGGAGAAGAAGCCCCGGCUAACUUCGUGCCAGCAGCCGCGGUAAUACGAAGGGGGCUAGCGUUGCUCGGAAUUACUGGGCGUAAAGGGAGCGUAGGCGGACUGUUUAGUCAGAGGUGAAAGCCCAGGGCUCAACCUUGGAAUUGCCUUUGAUACUGGCAGUCUUGAGUACGGAAGAGGUAUGUGGAACUCCGAGUGUAGAGGUGAAAUUCGUAGAUAUUCGGAAGAACACCAGUGGCGAAGGCGACAUACUGGUCCGUUACUGACGCUGAGGCUCGAAAGCGUGGGGAGCAAACAGGAUUAGAUACCCUGGUAGUCCACGCCGUAAACGAUGAGUGCUAGUUGUCGGCAUGCAUGCAUGUCGGUGACGCAGCUAACGCAUUAAGCACUCCGCCU